AUUGAACGCUGGCGGCAGGCCUAACACAUGCAAGUCGAACGGUAACAGGGAGCAGCUUGCUGCUCUGCUGACGAGUGGCGGACGGGUGAGUAAUGUCUGGGAAACUGCCUGAUGGAGGGGGAUAACUACUGGAAACGGUAGCUAAUACCGCAUAACGUCUUCGGACCAAAGUGGGGGACCUUCGGGCCUCAUGCCAUCAGAUGUGCCCAGAUGGGAUUAGCUAGUAGGUGGGGUAACGGCUCACCUAGGCGACGAUCCCUAGCUGGUCUGAGAGGAUGACCAGCCACACUGGAACUGAGACACGGUCCAGACUCCUACGGGAGGCAGCAGUGGGGAAUAUUGCACAAUGGGCGCAAGCCUGAUGCAGCCAUGCCGCGUGUAUGAAGAAGGCCUUCGGGUUGUAAAGUACUUUCAGCGGGGAGGAAGGUGYUGUGGUUAAUAACCRCAGCAAUUGACGUUACCCGCAGAAGAAGCACCGGCUAACUCC
rnacentral:rRNA from 1 species